rnacentral:rRNA from 1 species
UACGUAGGGUGCGAGCGUUGUCCGGAAUUACUGGGCGUAAAGGGCUCGUAGGCGGCCAACUAAGUCAGACGUGAAAUCCCUCGGCUUAACCGGGGAACUGCGUCUGAUACUGGAUGGCUCGAGUUUGGGAGAGGGAUGCGGAAUUCCGAGGUGUAGCGGUGAAAUGCGUAGAUAUCUGGAGGAACACCGGUGGCGAAGGCGGCAUCCUGGACCAACACUGACGCUGAGGAGCGAAAGCCAGGGGAGCAAACGGG